AUCAGUUGGGGGUCGCUGGGAUCAAAGUCAUCAAACUACUAACAAUCUGGAACAAGUUUCGUGCUCCCAAUCCUUUCCAAAUGCCACGUACUUCUUUUGUUUUGUGACCUUUUCCGUUCAGGAAAUAUAAUAUACUAAACCCAGACAAACACACACCGUCUCUCUCUCUCUCUCUCUUUCUCUCUCUCUCUCUCUGAAAGCUUCAACCUUGCUUACCUUGAUCUUUCCAGAAUCUCCUCCAGGUCUUUUUGACUCGUAGUAUAUAAUUCACACUCUGACCCUCAGUUAUGUUAAACAAAUCAGUCAUUGUCUUUGCUCGUUGAGUUCGCACAACAGAGAUCCGAGUUUGCUUCGACGAAAACUUGGUCGUCGAGUUGGGUUUGAACUUUGAACAUGGAUGGUGAAUAUCAAGAAGUUUACAUAAGGAAUUCCAGAGGAGUGCAGCUUUUCACUUGCAGAUGGUUGCCUUUCUCUUCCCCAAAGGCCCUUGUGUUCCUCUGCCAUGGUUAUGGCAUGGAGUGCAGCGGUUUCAUGAGAGAAUGCGGCGUCCGGCUAGCAAACGCCGGAUAUGCAGUAUUUGGAAUCGACUAUGAGGGCCAUGGGCGUUCUCGGGGCGCAAGGUGUUACAUUAAGAAGUUCGAAAACAUUGUUAACGACUGCAAUGACUUCUUCAAGUCGAUUUGUGUCGAGGAAGAGUACAGGGACAAAUGUAGGUUCUUGUAUGGGGAAUCCAUGGGAGGGGCAGUGGCCUUAUUGCUUCAUAAGAAGGAUCCUACAUUUUGGAAUGGUGCUGUUCUUGUUGCACCAAUGUGCAAGAUAUCAGAGAAAGUAAAGCCGCAUCCACUGGUGGUAAAUGUACUGACCAGAGUAGAGGAAAUUAUACCGAAAUGGAAGAUCGUACCCACCAAAGACGUUAUUGAUUCCGCCUUCAAGGACCCUGUAAAGCGCGAAGUGAUAAGAAGCAACAAGCUUAUCUACCAAGACAAGCCGAGGCUGAAAACUGCUUUGGAAAUGCUGAGAACUAGCAUGAGCCUUGAAGACACUUUACAUGAAGUGAAACUACCUUUCUUUGUUUUACAUGGGGAGGCAGAUACAGUUACAGACCCUGAAGUAAGCAAAUCUCUGUACAAAAAAGCCAGCAGCCCAGACAAGACCAUAAAAUUGUACCCUGGAAUGUGGCAUGGCUUGACAUCAGGAGAACCCGACGGGAACGUCGAGAUUGUGUUUGCAGACAUCAUACUUUGGCUUGAGAAGCACACUACCGACAGCAAUGUCGUGGUUCUGCAACCACUUCAAACAUUUAAUGAUGGCAUUGUGAAGUUGAACACCACAGCAUCAUCACCCGAAACCAUGAACGAACGGCAGCAAGGGAGCUAUUUCUGUGGACUAAAGGGGCGAAGAUUACAACAUCACUCGGCAAUGUAGUCCUGCGUACUGGGAAUCAUAGCUGCUGUUUCGCACUUGUGCAUUAUCACUAUAAAACUGCUCUCAUGAGUCAUAAUAAAGACAGAUUGCACAAAAAAGAAUGUGAGGAAGAUUGAAAGACGAAGCUCGCUGUCUAUUAAGCUUAAAGGAUAACAAUACAUAAAGAACAAAGGAUGGACAUGACAACGAAUGCCGAAAGAAGACACCUCCAAACCUACUCCG